UCUCCGUAGGUGAACCUGCGGAGGGAUCAUUACUGAGUGAGGGUCUCCGGGCCCGACCUCCAACCCUUUGUGAACCAAACUUGUUGCUUCGGGGGCGACCCUGCCGCUUCGGCGGUGCGGCGCCCCCGGAGGCCAUUAAACACUGCAUCAUUGCGUCGGAGUUAAAGUAAAUUAAACAAAACUUUCAACAACGGAUCUCUUGGUUCCAGCAUCGAUGAAGAACGCAGC
rnacentral:misc_RNA from 1 species